CCAUCUCUCCUACUAACGUAAGUGUUAGACCUUGAUUUUUCUUUUCCCUGGUACAGUAUAUUAUUCUCUUAUUGAUAUUUCUCGUCUAUAUUAUGGUCAACACCAUUGCCGCUCGGCAGCGGCUUCAGCUAUAUGCCGGAGUGCGGUGCUAGAGAGCCCACUCUCCCUUGAUGUGUUCCCCGGGCUCGCCACUCCCUUGGAUCUUAAUCUCUCUGUAUUAACGACAUCCUACCUCGGAUAUCUUGCUUGCAGGCAGCUAUCGAUACUCGAUAGCUGCAACACACACACACACACACACACAGUGCCUGAGAGUCGAUGAACAGCGAGUCAGUAGUGGUCUAAAAUCACAUACAAAAUAUCACACAGGUCUGGCAAGGGAAUGCACGGAUGAUUCAACACAAAAGAUAUCUAGUUACAUUAGAAUAUAUUAUCACUUGGGACAGUUUAGAACCCCCACCAUAUGAGCUAUGAUUGGAUUCUUGUUCUUUAUAUGCAUUAACGUCGGCCUUUGGGUUGUAUUCAAGAACGUGGAGCAUAGGAAUGUUCUUGAAAAUAGGGAGGGUACCUUAAGAGCAAGCCCUAUGAAAAAAUUCAUUUAUAAUUUAUACAUUUACUAGCAUCUAUAUGUAUUAUGUGUUUGAAUGUACUGCAAUAAUAAAUUAUAAAUAUAUUUUUAUAAUAAGGAGAAAUUUUGGCCAAUUUUUAUGAAUGUCACUGGUAUUUAUAAAACUAUAUUAUUUAUCAAAUCAAUUUAAUUUACAACUCUCUUACCAAUCAUUCAGAUAAUUGUUGGAUGUUUUAAGUUGCAAUUUUUUGGUACUAUACUAGACAUCUAUUUGGGAACACUAAUAUAUAUUUCCUUGGGCAUUAUUGAUCUGAAAUGAAUCGGCAUUACAUACUUUUGUACAUCAGGAAAUGUGCUGAGGAUGUCAUCUUCCAAAAUUCCAAAAUGCUGAACCAAAAUUUAUUUUAUUCACCAGGAUGAAUGGUCUGCACUCGCAAGGGUUUUUUGCAAAAAUUUGAAUUAUUUGGGAUUCUUUGUAAGAGUGAAAUUAAUGAAAAUAUGUAAUAACUUGAUACAACUUUAUAGUUCGAGAGAGAGAGAGGAACUGCGCGUUUGUCCCGAAUUUGUCGUGUACAGGAAGUGUGUAUUUACCCCAGACUGGUCCCAGAGAGAGAGCCAGCCUUCUCACUGGGGUAAAUACACUCAUCCUGUCCAAGAGUAAAUGUAAAAUGUAUGUAAUUAGUAACAGUUAGACGUGUAAAACUGCAAAUAACUGUACAGUAUACAGUAUAUGAGGGGUUUUUUUCUGGAAUGUAGAUCCAAAGUUUUGGCACCUUCACUGUAUUUAAAAUAAUAAAUGUGGCCCAGAGCCUACAAAAAGUUGGGGACCACUGGCCUACACCAUUUAAUUGAAUUAGAAGUGACUACAUUACUUAGCUGGGAAUUCUUGGCUGGACAGACUGGAGGCUACGGAGCUGGCUUGUUAAGUUAGGUUAGAAAAGUCAUGUACUAUAUCCUGAUAAAUGAGUCAUUAGGUUUGGUUCCUUAGGUUAUUCUGGUGUUUCUUUUUUGGUUAGGUUAGGUUAGGUUAGGUUAGGUUUGGUAAAAAUAUAAUCCUCUCCAAUAUUUGAAACACUGCAUUAUUCUUAAGAAAAAAAGUUUUCUUGUAGUAAAAUGUUUCCGAAUACAGUACUUUACAGUAAAACUUGGUAUCCUGCACACUUAUUUUUUUCAGUAAUAAUUAGGUCAGAAUGACAAUUGUUUCUUCUUAUGUAAAAUUUAAUUCAGAAUCGAUUUUCUUCUAGGAUAUUUCUUGUGCAAAUUUAUAUUAAUGGAGAUAUAUGCAUACUGAUAGUAAAAAGACCGCCCUUUUCACAUGUUGUCAGCCCUGGACCAAGACACAUGGCUUGAGCAAUCUAGAAUAUGCACUACACUGACAGUGAUUCCCUAUAGAGAUGCUCUACGCUCAACAAUCUUGAAUACAGCCGCCUGUCUUGAGCGAUGAACGUUCGCUAGUGUGUGUUGUGGUGGGGUUAGGUUUUCAUGACCUCUAUCCCUUUCUUAGCUGGUUUGAUAUUUCAGAAGUCACUUUAUAAAUGACCCAUAGACUAUAACUGGACUUGAAGAUUUCAUUAUAUGUUUAUGGUCCUGAUUACCCUUUGACCCACUGAUUUUUCUUAAUAUCAUCAUAUCAUUGUGGGAAGUUCCUUUAUGAAUUCUAGUUCAAUUAAUCCAAAGUAUGUUUGUGCCAAUUUACAAUUUAUUUAUCAGGAAAGUGCCUCUUUCUCACAGUGCACUAGAUCCAAAAGUAUGGCUGGCUGAAUGCUGGCUCAGUGCUCCAGGUCCUAAGGAGAAACAGGCUCAGUGCUCCAGGUCCUAAGGAGAAACAGGCUCAGUGCUCCAGGUCCUAAGGAGAAACAGGCUCAGUGCUCCAGGUCCAAAGG
rnacentral:lncRNA from 1 species